UUGAACGCUGGCGGCAGGCCUAACACAUGCAAGUCGCGCGGAUGAAGGGAGCUUGCUCCUGGAUUCAGCGGCGGACGGGUGAGUAAUGCCUAGGAAUCUGCCUGGUAGUGGGGGAUAACGUCCGGAAACGGGCGCUAAUACCGCAUACGUCCUGAGGGAGAAAGUGGGGGAUCUUCGGACCUCACGCUAUCAGAUGAGCCUAGGUCGGAUUAGCUAGUUGGUGGGGUAAAGGCCUACCAAGGCGACGAUCCGUAACUGGUCUGAGAGGAUGAUCAGUCACACUGGAACUGAGACACGGUCCAGACUCCUACGGGAGGCAGCAGUGGGGAAUAUUGGACAAAGGGCGAAAGCCUGAUCCAGCCAUGCCGCGUGUGUGAAGAAGGUCUUCGGAUUGUAAAGCACUUUAAGUUGGGAGGAAGGGCAGUAAGUUAAUACCUUGCUGUUUUGACGUUACCAACAGAAUAAGCACCGGCUAACUUCGUG
rnacentral:rRNA from 1 species